rnacentral:rRNA from 1 species
UACGUAGGGGGCAAGCGUUGUCCGGAUUUAUUGGGCGUAAAGAGCGUGUAGGCGGCCAGGUAGGUCUGCUGUGAAAACUCGAGGCUCAACCUCGAGAUGUCGGCGGAAACCAUCUGGCUAGAGUCCGGAAGAGGAAAGUGGAAUUCCCGGUGUAGCGGUGAAAUGCGCAGAUAUCGGGAAGAACACCCGUGGCGAAGGCGGCUCUCUGGGACGGUACUGACGCUGAGACGCGAAAGCGUGGGGAGCGAACAGG